UCGGGAAUUUUGGGCAAUGGGCGAAAGCCUGACCCAGCAACGCCGCGUGAGGGAUGAAGUAUUUCGGUAUGUAAACCUCGAAAGAAUGGGAAGAAUAAAUGACGGUACCAUUUAUAAGCUCCGGCUAACUACGUGCCAGCAGCCGCGGUAAUACGUAGGAAGCAAGCGUUGUUCGGAUUUACUGGGCGUAAAGGGCGCGUAGGCGGCGCGGUAAGUCACUUGUGAAAUCUCUGAGCUUAACUCAGAACGGCCAAGUGAUACUGCUGUGCUAGAGUGCGGAAGAGGCAACCGGAAUUCUUGGUGUAGCGGUGAAAUGCGUAGAUAUCAAGAGGAACACCUGAGGCGAAGGCGGGUUGCUGGGCCGACACUGACGCUGAUGCGCGAAAGCCAGGGGAGCAAAC
rnacentral:rRNA from 1 species